UCUCUGUUAGUAUAGUGGCUAGUAUCCCUCCCUGUCAUUUUCGAUAGCUCGGAGGAGACCAGGGUUCAAUUCCCUGACAGAGAG